GAUGAAGAACGCAGCGAAAUGCGAUACUUGGUGUGAAUUGCAGAAUCCCGUGAACCAUCGAGUCUUUGAACGCAAGUUGCGCCCGAAGCCACUAGGCCGAGGGCACGCCUGCCUGGGCGUCACACGCCGUUGCCCCCCCAUCUACUCCUUCGGGAUUGCGGGGGGGCGGAUGAUGGCCUCCUGUGCGCCUAGCCGCGCGGUUGGCAUAAAUACCAAGUCCUCGGCGACGCACGCCACGACAAUCGGUGGUUGCGAAACCUCGGUUGCCCGUCGUGUGCGUUCGUCGCGCAUCGAGGGCUCGAAAAAAUGCUCGGCUCCGGCUGGGCUUUCAACGCGACCCCAGGUCAGGCGUGGUUACCCGCUGAAUUUAAGCAUAUCAAUAAGCGGAGGA
rnacentral:misc_RNA from 1 species